GUUAGUGCAUGUUCGAGUUCUCCACUUGCAUUAUUAAAUGGGUGGCAGUUCAAGGUUUCAAUUUCUAUCACACUUUGUGACACUUCCUUCGGAUUUCCUUUGAUGAAUUACCUUUUCACUCUGAGGUGUGACUGGUCAGUCACUGUCAGGACCGACAAAGUGCAUACUGAAGAUGACGAGGGGAUGGGCUAGACCAAUGUGUUUUAGACGUCAGAAUUAGAAUCGUGUGGGAGUUGUACAUGUGCUUGUGUGUGUGUGUGUGCGCGCGCGUGUGUGGGCGUGUGCAUGGGUUAUUUAAUGUGCUAGCGAAUCGUUCAUACUGAAAUAUACUUCCUCCGUUCCUAAAUAUGUCUUUCUAGAUAUUUCAA